GAUGAAGAACGUAGCGAAAUGCGAUAAGUAAUGUGAAUUGCAGAAUCCAGUGAAUCAUCGAAUCUUUGAACGCACAUAGCGCCCGCCAGCAUUCUGGCGGGCAUGCCUGUUCGAGCGUCAUUUCAACCCUCGACCUCCCUUUGGGGAAGUCGGCGUUGGGGACCGGCAGCACACCGCCGGCCCUGAAAUGGAGUGGCGGCCCGUCCGCGGCGACCUCUGCGUAGUAAUCCAACUCGCACCGGAACCCCGACGCGGCCACGCCGUAAAACACCCAACUUCUGAACGUUGACCUCGAAUCAGGUAGGACUACCCGCUGAACUUAAGCAUAUCAAUAAGCGGAGGA
rnacentral:misc_RNA from 1 species